UACAUGGGGUGCAAACGUUGCUCGGAAUGAUUGGGCGUAAAGCGCGCGUAGGCGGUUACUUAAGUCGGAUGUGAAAGCCCUCGGCUUAACUGAGGAAGUGCACCCGAAACUGAGUAGCUAGAGUACGAAAGAGGGUCGCGGAAUUCCCGGUGUAGAGGUGAAAUUCGUAGAUAUCGGGAGGAACACCGGUGGCGAAGGCGGCGACCUGGGUCGAGACUGACGCUGAGGCGCGAAAGCGUGGGGAGCAAACAGG
rnacentral:rRNA from 1 species